GACGAACGCUGGCGGCGUGCCUAAUACAUGCAAGUCGAGCGGACAGAAGGGAGCUUGCUCCCGGAAGUUAGCGGCGGACGGGUGAGUAACACGUGGGCAACCUACCCUGUAGAUCGGGAUAACAUCGAGAAAUCGGUGCUAAUACCGGAUAAUCAUUUGAAGUGCAUGCUUCGAAUGUAAAAGAUGGCUCCGGCUAUCACUACGGGAUGGGCCCGCGGCGCAUUAGCUAGUUGGUAAGGUAAUGGCUUACCAAGGCAACGAUGCGUAGCCGACCUGGGAGGGUGAUCGGCCACACUGGGACUGAGACACGGCCCAGACUCCUACGGGAGGCAGCAGUAGGGAAUCUUCCGCAAUGGACGAAAGUCUGACGGAGCAACGCCGCGUGAGUGAUGAAGGUUUUCGGAUCGUAAAGCUCUGUUGUUAGGGAAGAACAAGUGCCGUUUGAAUAAGGCGGCACCUUGACGGUACCUAACCAGAAAGCCACGGCUAACUACGUGCCAGCAGCCGCCGUAAUAC
rnacentral:rRNA from 1 species